ACAGCACUUAUCUUCUCUCUCAGGCCGGCUGAAGCACUGACAAAACCCAAAAGCUGUAAUCGUUCAGUUGUUGUAGAUCAGAAGCAUGAGCGUCGCAUAUAGAAAGAACAACAUGGAAAAUGACACAAAGUCCGAAAUGGCUGAUCUUGGCCCUGCAGUUACAAUUGUCGAAACCUGCGUUUGUCUUCUUUUGAACAUCAUAUCACUAAACGGGAACUUUUUGGUGUGUUUAGCUGUUUAUAAAAACUCGCGCUUGCGAACUACGACCAACAUUUACAUUAUCGGACUGGCGCUAACCGACUUACUUUCAGCUACGUUUGUGAUGCCAUUCACUUCUGGUGUCCUUAUAACCCGAAAAUGGCCGUAUGGAAAUCUCUACUGCAACAUACAAGCGUUUCUGGUCAACUUUGGACUAUUCACCUCUACUUCGAUCAUGGGACUCACAGCCUUCAACAGAUACGUAAGAAUUGUUCAUACAAACAGAUACAAUACUACAUUUUCGAGAUUUAAAUCUCGUAUUACACUAGCGUCGUUGUGCGUGAUCAUAGCCUCGUACAUCGCAAUACCAGGCUUGACUGGAUUGCAAAAUUUUGAAUUUGUUCCUGAGUAUGCCACCUGCCAUAUAACACAUGCAAGUGAAGAAGUCAUGAUAGUUCAUUACUGCGUUGUCGUAUUUUUCUUUCUGGUUUUUCCUUUCAGUUUGGCAACAUUCUGUUACGUCAAAGUGUUUAGGACUAUUAAGCAGCAUAAUCUCGAAGUUGCACCAAAUUUACAAUCGAGAAUUCGCGACGCUCAGAUCACUACCCAAGAGAUAAAAAUUUCAAAAUCUCUUUUUGUGGUAGUGUUAGGAUUCGGAAUGUGUUGGAUACCCGCAUGGAUUCUAGCUUUGAUAAUGCGCUUUCGCGCUUUUCCAUCUUUGCCUAGAGAAUUUUUCCUCAUUCACACCGCCCUAGUUUUCCUAAGCAGCUCUACUAAUGUAUUCAUUUAUGCAGGAAUGAACAACUCGUUCAAAGCAGAAUUUCGACGUUUGCUAUCUUGUGAAAUUCGUGUCAAAUUAUCUGCCAAGGUUUCUCCGAAUUUCGGCGGACGAAGACCCGUCGAACUACGCUUUCCGUAAAUUCAGCGGAUAACCCUGCGUUUGUGAUUUAGUCAGUUGGGUGAGAAUCGUAUGAUUUCAAGAAGGCUAGAAAUUUAAAAUUUGAAGCAGUGACACUAGUCAAACAGAUGAUAUCUCCAGAUAUUUUGUGGCUAAAUGAAGACACGCUGUGAAGGAGCGUGGUUUGGUGGACCAACCGAGUUUAAUGCCUCGGUGCGUUGACAUAUUUACCUA